rnacentral:rRNA from 1 species
UACGUAGGGUGCGAGCGUUGUCCGGAAUUAUUGGGCGUAAAGGGCUCGUAGGCGGUUUGUCGCGUCGGGAGUGAAAUCCACUGGCUUAACUGGUGGCUUGCUUUCGAUACGGGCAGACUGGAGGUAUGCAGGGGAGAACGGAAUUCCUGGUGUAGCGGUGAAAUGCGCAGAUAUCAGGAGGAACACCGGUGGCGAAGGCGGCAUCCUGGACCAAUAUUGACGCUGAGGAGCGAAAGCCAGGGGAGCAAACGGG